rnacentral:misc_RNA from 1 species
GUUUUUCUUGGAAAAUAUUUUCUACAAAACAAAUAGAGCCUUAGAUUCAUUCACAUGGUAUUACUUCUUUUGACAUGUUUCUUAAUUCCUUUCAAAAUUAGUUGAGAAGAAAUCCUUCCUCUUUUAAAAAUAUCCAAGAAUAUAUUUAAUAGGUGAUCAUUAGUUCGGUUCACACAUUGAUCCUAAAAUUUAAUGAAGCUAUCGCAUUGCU